AAACCAGAGUCGCAUUUGGUCUGCCCAGA
rnacentral:sRNA from 1 species